AUCAGGGCAAAAUAUGAGUAAAUAAUGUUGUGUUUUUGGUGUAAAAGCAUAUGUGGAACUCAUUUGCAUGUUCAUAUGGAAUGUGUUGCAUAAGUGUUUCAGGUCUUGCAGUUUCAUCUUCCAUGUGAUGUUGUGUCUAUUCCCAAUAGGCACGAAGAGAACACUUCAAGUUGGCUGCUUUUGCAUGCAAAUAUUUGCCUGAAAUAUAUUUGUAAGGUCACUCACAAACGAAGCCUUGAAAAUCACAAAAAAAAAAAAAACCCAGCAAGUUUUCACAAUUGAAAUUAAGUAGGUCAAGAUUCCACCUAGCCUGUCUGGUAACGUGUUCUACAAGCUAAUAAGUUUGUGAGAGAAAAACCACAUGUAUAAGGUUGCCAAGGUGAGCAUACAACCUCAUUACAAACCCAUGAACAGCAGAUAUAAUCUCUGAUUUUUGUUUUAUCUUUACCAAAUGAUAUACUCUUAAAAUACCUUACUAUACAUACAAACUUUGGGGGAUAUUGCCAUAGGUAAAAGUUAUUCUAUUAAUGUGAUUAGUUGCUAUGCUGAUUACUGAAUGUAUCCCUUCAUCUUAAUAAGCAGGAACACCUGGAAGAUAUGCCUUAUGUAACUACAUACCGUUUGUUUCUUAAAAUAAGAUAAGAGGGAUGGAUAAAAGAGACCUGUGGUGUCACAGUGUGACUGACCCCUUUAAGAGGGAGCAGAGCCAGUGCAUCUGUGAUUGGUCAGCUGAUCCCAAUGGUUUAAAAGCGGGGCGGGCAAUCUGGGCCUAGAGGAGAGAGACCUGAAACAGACAAAUGCAAAGUUCCCUGGAUAUCAGGGAGACUGCAGAGAACAAGCUGAAGAUUGGGGAUGUCUGGACACACUCAGUUUGCAUGUUUGCAAACAAAGCAUGGGAAAGUCACAUGCCAUGUCAACGCUUGAAUUCAUUCGACACAUUCUUCUGACACUAGAGCAGAAAAAAGAGCUCCUUCUAGGAAGUGUACAGCCUACCACAUUCUUUUUGGCUGACCUAUGAGGGACAAAAACUUGUUAAUCAUCACCUGAGUGAUUCCUACCGUGAUAAGAAAAUGUAUUAUUGCCCUUGAUUGCAAGAGAUUUUUAGGAAGCAUCCUGAAAAUACAAUGAACUAAGGCUACGUGCUUUCAUCUGUUUUCCUUCAUUGAUCAUGAUCUGUUACUGCACAGCUACUGUUUCUGCAAUUCAUAUUUUUUCUGCUGUUCUGUGAUGAAAGUGAAUAAACAUAUUAGAACUACACACAUCUACUAAGAGUCAAAAAUAAAGGCUUGAGAUGACUAAUAUAAAUCACUGUUUAAAGGAGGGCUAGUAAGUCAGCUACAUUCCUAUCCUAAUGGCUAGAAGCUAAAUGGUUGCUCCCUGCUGAGUCAAUAAAAAGGUUUCAACUUGGUUUUUAAUGCUGCAUGGGGGCUGUGCAGAGAUCUGUAUGAAAUGUAUUUAUUAGUAAUAGCUUAGGGUCCAAACUUGUGAGACUUCCCUCCCAAUAUUGCCAAUCCCACAAAAAUCAUGAGCCAAGCCCCACAAAAUCAUGCUUCUCAAAACUGAAAGCUAAGAUUCCCAUGUAAUCACAGGGCUCCAGGAGCUGGGGCCGUUAGGAAAAAAAAAUCAAAUAUCGGGAGUCUUACAAAACAAGUGUUGGUAGCCCUGCUCACAGUUGCAGUUCAGCACCUCACAGGAUCAGAUCCUUUUUGCUUAUUGUACUAUUAUAUACUUAAGCAUCUCCCUAUACAAGUGAAUCUUUCUGUUCCCCCUCAAGAUUUAGGGAAGCGCUUGAAUUGUCAGUUUCUUAUUUCUGCCCACCAAACACUUUGCUGGCACUUCAAUAACUCACACACAUAAGACCUGUGCAAGCUUAGCUUCUGAUAGUUGAAUUUGCCUAUGGGCCCCUAAAAUGUACCAGGGUUCCCUGAGCCCCUUAAAGGUACCAGGUUUCCACCACUGUCACCUUUGUAAUUGACCAUACCCUGGAACACCAAACUCUUCAAGAUAGUUGGUAGCAUGCCAGGUGUACUGCAGACUCGGAGGCAAGCUCUCUCAUGACUGACUGAAAGGAGUGGGAAGGCUGACAGAAAGGAAAGGGUGUGAAUACUGUAGCUAUAGUGGCUUAGGCAGUUAGAACAGAAGAUCAAUGCCGUAAUUCGUUACUCACCUUAGGACCCUUCUAGUAUUAUCCAAUCCUUUAUUAGAGGACAAUUAAGUUCUGGCCUGUAGAUCUCUCUAGCUAGAGUUGAGUUCUACCAUCUGUAGUCUCAUUGGUGGCCCCGCUGCAUUGUCCUCCUGUCACCCUGUCAUAGUGUUAGCUUCAGACCUGCUUACAAGCUACUACAGCUGUAUGAUGCUUCUACUACUACGACUGUGACCUCGUGUCAAUAUAGCCUAAUUCCUACUCAAGUCUCUGAUUCCUCACCUCGGUGCCAGGCUCGCUGUUGCUGCUGCUACAGUCCAAGUAAGAGGUCGCUGGCAGCUGGCCUAUGACCCUUUGAGUCACUCCUCAGGAGGGGAAGCAAAUGAGUGAAUUGGCUGUUCCAUAGAUUCAUCACACUAGCUUUGCAUCUGACAAUGGCUUUGAUUAAAGGAUCUGCAAGCAUUGCACAAGUGCCAAAGCGGACAGAAUGUGCCUGAUUUCUAAAAUAGUCCCCCAACACUUGUAAUUCCAGGUUUUCACCCAUGAAUAACUGCUGACACAAAAGUGGAGUUAUAAUUAGCAAAUGUAAAGCAGAAUCACUUCAGUUUUCCUGCAUUCAAGAAUAGUGCUUGAGUUACCUAACUUAUAUGUGCAAAUACACAUGUGCACAUGCAAAUAGAAACAUGCACAAAGUGUAUGUGUCUGUAAAGAUAGAAGGUGGUUUGAUAAUAGAUGAAAAAUUGGCCUUUGUGGUGUUGUAUGAUGGAUGGAUGUUGGAAAAUAAUGGUGAAUGUUGUAAAAGGACUACAACCUCACUGCAGAAUGAGCACUCCCAUCCCUCCGCUGGCAUGACCUAGGAACAUGCUUUCAGGAUUCCUUUCCUGCCAGAAGGUCUGUCUCUGGCAACAUUUCUAAGGAUGCUCAGAUCUGUGGUUAAAGAGAGUAUAUAGGUAUUGAGUUUUUUCUCUUAACUGGUACAAAGUAAAAUAAAUCUAUGGACAGGAAGGGUCAAUAGAAGUAACUUCAGCCAAUAUGGAAUCAGUACAGGCAGUUCCUGUAGCUAGGGUGACCAGAUGUCCUGAUUUUAUAGGGACAGUCCCAAUUUUUGGGUCUUCUUCUUAUAUAGGUUCCUAUUACCCUCCACCCCCGUCUCGAUUUUUCAUGUUUGCUGUCUGGUCAGGUCACCCUACCUGUAGCACAGCUGUAAUAAAGCUGUACGUAGGAAUUCUGGUGAGAGUCUAAUCUCUGUUUCCCAGCCAGAGUCACAUGACAUAGAUCAAAGUUAUAUCCCGCCUCAAGAGCACUCCACAUUGGACUAAUUCUGCUCCCACUGAAAAUAAUGGGAGUAGAAUUAGGCCAACACUGAGUGUUUCUGAAAAUCCCAUCUUAUGUGUAGAACACCCCCACCAUAUCAGUUAGCCAAACUGCCACCUGCGCUUCACUCAAGUCCCUCUUAAACUCAUCAGUCCUCACAAGGAGUUAGUUUUUAUUCCCUGCUUCUUGUUUUCCCAGCACAUCCCUCCUUGAUUCAUCUGGCUGUUAAACACUUGGCAGCAUAUUGUUGGCACUAAACAAAUAAUAAAAAUAACAAAAAUAAAACAUUACAUAAAAUGCAACUAUUUUAACAUGCUACAUUCUGUCUCAAGGAAAUGUCAGGCACAUUAGCAAAAAAGAUCACUGUGAGGGUAUAGUUUCACCCCUGGGAAUUUUUUUUUUUUGCCAUCUUGCUCUUUUUGUUAUUGAUCUGAGGAAAAAUCAAAUUACAAAUGCUCAAAACUUUGCAUCCCCAUUUAAUAUUAUCCAGGGUGGUGCCUCUUCUGCAGUUUUGCUCACAUGUUAAUAAAUUUUUCUCAUUUGUGAGAGUCACUGAACAGAGCCUGUGAAUUGUUUUACCCAGUAGGGGGUAGAGCAAUAAUGAAGCAUUGUGAUUAAGUAGUGUUGGAACCUCUUGCCUUCUUCACUAAGUGGGAAGCACCAUUAGUAGUAAAAGUAAUUACCUGUGUAGAACAUGCUGAUUGCAUCGAGUAUCUACUACAUGAUACCAAGAGUCUUGUAAACUUUAGGGGCUGUAAGAGAUUUUCAUUUGCUAAUUUCACAUUUUAAGCAGCAGCACAUAAUUUUUUAAAUGCGUUGGUGUUUAAAUUACAAAUAAACUUUGUAAAGAGCUUUUCCCCCAAGACUAUUCGUUUUUCAUCAAUGGUUGUUUUGGAAAAAAAAAAGGAA